rnacentral:rRNA from 1 species
GGUAGAGCUACUGGAUGGCUGAUGGGCCCUACCGGGUUACUGACGUCAACUAAACUCCGAAUGCCAGUCAAGGUUCAGCGUGGCAGUGAGACAGUGGGGGAUAAGCUUCAUUGUCGAGAGGGAAACAGCCCAGACCAUCAACUAAGGCCCCUAAGCGUGUGCUCAGUGGGAAAGGAUGGUUCAGUUGCGAAGACAACCAGGAGGUUGGCUUAGAAGCAGCCACCCUUGAAAGAGUGCGUAAUAGCUCACUGGUAGAGCUACUGGAUGGCUGAUGGGCCCUACCGGGUUACUGACGUCAACUAAACUCCGAAUGCCAGUCAAGGUUCAGCGUGGCAGUGAGACAGUGGGG